AGUGAACGCUGGCGGUAGGCCUAACACAUGCAAGUCGAACGGCAGCACAGAGGAGCUUGCUCCUUGGGUGGCGAGUGGCGGACGGGUGAGGAAUACAUCGGAAUCUACUCUGUCGUGGGGGAUAACGUAGGGAAACUUACGCUAAUACCGCAUACGACCUACGGGUGAAAGCAGGGGAUCUUCGGACCUUGCGCGAUUGAAUGAGCCGAUGUCGGAUUAGCUAGUUGGCGGGGUAAAGGCCCACCAAGGCGACGAUCCGUAGCUGGUCUGAGAGGAUGAUCAGCCACACUGGAACUGAGACACGGUCCAGACUCCUACGGGAGGCAGCAGUGGGGAAUAUUGGACAAUGGGCGCAAGCCUGAUCCAGCCAUACCGCGUGGGUGAAGAAGGCCUUCGGGUUGUAAAGCCCUUUUGUUGGGAAAGAAAUCCAGCCGGCUAAUACCUGGUUGGGAUGACGGUACCCAAAGAAUAAGCACCGGCUAACUUCGUGCCAGCAGCCGCGGUAAUACGAAGGGUGCAAGCGUUACUCGGAAUUACUGGGCGUAAAGCGUGCGUAGGUGGUUAUCUAAGUCCGUUGUGAAAGCCCUGGGCUCAACCUGGGAACUGCAGUGGAUACUGGAUGACUAGAAUGUGGUAGAGGGUAGCGGAAUUCCUGGUGUAGCAGUGAAAUGCGUAGAGAUCAGGAGGAACAUCCAUGGCGAAGGCAGCUACCUGGACCAACAUUGACACUGAGGCACGAAAGCGUGGGGAGCAAACAGG
rnacentral:rRNA from 1 species